AGUCAUCAAAACAGCAGACCAUAUCUGUAUGAUAGCAGCAGACAUUUUUUGAAGCGAUACGAAUUGAGCUUGCGUGACAUGGCUUCUUCUGGGGAAGAAAUAAUAUCUAUACAGAGAGGUUGCAACUUACCUGCGCUUAACAGAUGCACCUCCUGCUGUUCCCUAUUUCACUGUCCUUUCUGUAAUUCUGAUUUUUUUUCAAGCCCUCAAAGAAAAGUAAAGUACAAACUCAUCUUAAGCUUCACUUUUCUAGGGCAGUCGUCCAUGAAGAUUAUACAAUCCACUGGUGUGGUCUAGGUUGUGUGCCACAAUUACAACUACCACUAGAAUCUACAGGAGUCAUGCUGUUAAGAAAUAAAAGUCAUGGUGUUAAUAAAUAUUUUUGUGAACAACAAUAUUGUCUCUUUCUUUUAAAUGACCCUUGGAAUUUUAGAAAAGGGUUAAAUUAUGUUUGUCUUCAUAAAAUGCUAUGUAGGACAUGUUUUGUAGCUGUAUGACGACCAAUUGUGAAUUGUACAGCAGAUAUUUCAUUUA